AGAGAGGAAUGCUAUGAUCUGCACUCUGUUAAACUUGCUAUUGUGAUUAUGAUAUAGAUUCCACUGAGGCUGCAGCCCUUAAUAUCACAGUUCCCUGAUUUAUUAAGAAUCUAGGGUAAAACUUCACCUGGCUCCUCCUGAGCCUCUGAUAUGUUUUUCACUGUAGACUCUGUUAAUUUUGUUACUCUGUAUAUUUCCUUUGUUCUGCCUACUUGGAAGCUCAAAAUGAAAUGUGCAACUAGGCUGUAGCAAUUGUACAGAACAUUAUAUUAGGCAUUGGAUGUACUGAACCUUCCUUUUAUUUUUAGUAUAUACUUAUUUCACUUCAUUUUUAAUUUUUCUUAAUUUUUUAUUGUGUUUAUUGAAUGUAUCUCUAAGGUACCUGAAAUCCUAUUUUGAAAUAAGGAAGAUCUACAUAGAAAUAAAUUUGGGGCCUAUGUA